GGCGGCCUAGGUUUCCGCGACUUGGAAAUUUUCAACCUCGCGCUGCUUGCUCGCCAGGCUUGGAGACUGUUGAUGGAUGAGUCAUCAUUGAGUGGAAGGAUUCUGAAAGCGGUCUACUACCCAAACUGCUCACUUUUAGAGGCGGAGCUGGGGGCGCAUCUUUCCCAGAUUUGGCGGGCGAUCCUUGAUGGGUGCGGCAUCCUUGCGCAAGGAAUAAUUAGAAGAAUCGGCAAUGGUGAAAUCACAAAUAUCUGGAGCCAAAACUGGAUCCCUCGGGAUAGUUUUAAGAGACCCAUUAUCUCUCUGGUCCCAAAUCCGCCUCAGAUGGUGGCUCAACUAAUUGAUGCUACAAGCUCAUCUUGGAACGUGGAUCUUGUAAGGGCGACUUUCACUCAGGUUGAUGCAGCAGAAAUAUUGAAGAUACCCCUAUGUACGAGGAGGAUAGAUGACUUCUGGGCAUGA
rnacentral:rRNA from 1 species